rnacentral:lncRNA from 1 species
UACUGAACAAGAAUAUACUUUAAGUUUUCAGUUUCGACCCCAUUUGGUCACCGAAAGCUGUACCGAACUGUAAUCUUUAUCAGAUAGAUUUCGGAUUUUAUUUCUCAACUUUCGGGUGUCAGAAAAAUAUGAAACUUUAAAUGUAGCCUCAUAAAAAUAUUUCUGACUUAUCCUCCAAUUUUUAUAAUUUUCUGACACUGCAUUUUCUGCUAAUUUAUCCGCCCCGUUUUCAACAGAAAAUUAUAAAUCUUCUGUUUUCAUUCCGAUUUCAACACAAGUCAUUAUAGACUUAUACUUUGUUUCUCAAAAACCAACAAAAAUAGUAUCUCCCACUAUUUUUAUUUACUUUUAUUUUUAUACCAAAAUCUGGUAUAUUACACCCUCGUUAUGUCUAUGUCGCCUUGUUGAGCAUAUAU